rnacentral:rRNA from 1 species
ACGUGGGUAACCUGCCCAGUAAGAGGGGGAUAACAUCCGGAAACGGGUGCUAAUACCGCAUAGUUUCUUGAUCGCAUGAUCGGAAGGAAAGACGGCCUUUGUGCUGUCGCUUAUGGAUGGACCCGCGGCGUAUUAGUUAGUUGGUGAGGUAACGGCUCACCAAGACGAUGAUACGUAGCCGACCUGAGAGGGUGAUCGGCCACAUUGGGACUGAGACACGGCCCAAACUCCUACGGGAGGCAGCAGUAGGGAAUCUUCCGCAAUGGACGAAAGUCUGACGGAGCAACGCCGCGUGAGUGAAGAAAAGGGUUUUCGGAUCGUAAAACUCUGUUGUCAGAGAAGAACAAGUUGGAGAGUAACUGCUCCAGCCUUGACGGUAUCUGACCAGAAAGCCACGGCUAACUACGUGCCAGCCGCUGC